UACGUAGGGACCAAGCGUUGUCCGGAAUCAUUGGGCGUAAAGAGCGUGUAGGCGGCUUGUCAAGUCUUGCGUGAAAUCUCGGGGCUCAACCCCGAGCGGUCGUGAGAAACUGGCAGGCUAGAGUGCGGGAGAGGAGAGUGGAAUUCCUGGUGUAGCGGUGAAAUGCGCAGAUAUCAGGAAGAACACCCGUGGCGAAGGCGGCUCUCUGGAACGCAACUGACGCUGAGACGCGAAAGCGUGGGGAGCAAACAGG
rnacentral:rRNA from 1 species